UACGUAGGUGGCAAGCGUUGUCCGGAUUUACUGGGCGUAAAGAGCGCGCAGGCGGUCGUUCAAGUCGAGUGUGAAAGCCCCCGGCUCAACUGGGGAGGGUCACUCGAUACUGAUCGACUCGAAGGCAGAAGAGGGAAGCGGAAUUCCCGGUGUAGUGGUGAAAUGCGUAGAUAUCAAGAGGAACACCUGAGGUGAAGACGGGUUGCUGGGCUGACACUGACGCUGAGGCGCGAAAGCCAGGGGAGCAAACGGG
rnacentral:rRNA from 1 species